rnacentral:misc_RNA from 1 species
AAGUCGUAACAAGGUUUCCGUAGGUGAACCUGCGGAAGGAUCAUUCUUGUAUUAUCUAGUAAUUUAUUGCUCAGGCAAUUUACUUUCUACUAUGUGAACAGUGGUGUAUUUACUUGAUUGCAACAAUGCAAAUAUUUUUUGUGUUGAUUGUGAUUGGGAAAAAUUCAAAACAAAUUUAACAUGAAUACUAUUAUAUAUUUACAAUUGUCUUAACAUAACAACAACAACAAUUAAAAAUACAACUUUUAGCAACGGAUCUCUAGGCUCUC